rnacentral:rRNA from 1 species
CCUACGGGAGGCAGCAGUGAGGAAUAUUGGUCAAUGGACGACAGUCUGAACCAGCCAAGUAGCGUGAAGGAUGACUGCCCUAUGGGUUGUAAACUUCUUUUAUAUGGGAGUAAAAUGUUCCACGUGUGGGAUUUUGUAUGUACCAUAUGAAUAAGGACCGUCUAACUACGUGCCAGCAUCCGUGUUAAUACGGAGUAUCCGAGCGUUAUCCGGAUUUGUUGGGAUUAAAGGGAGCGUAGGUGGCUUGUUAAGUCAGUUGUGAAAGUUUGCGGCUCAACCGUAAAAUUGCAGUUGAAACUGGCAGUCUUGAGUACAGUAGAGGUGGGCGGACUGCGUGGUGUAGCGGUGAAAUGCUUAGAUAUCACGAAGAACUCCGAUUGCGAAGGCAGUUCACUGGACUGCAACUGACACUGAGGCUCGAAAGUGUGGGUAUCAAACAGGAUUAGAUACCCCAGUAGUC